UACGUAGGGUGCAAGCGUUGUCCGGAAUUAUUGGGCGUAAAGAGCUCGUAGGCGGUCUGUCGCGUCGGCUGUGAAAUCCCGAGGCUCAACCUCGGGUCUGCAGUCGAUACGGGCAAACUAGAGUAUUGCAGGGGAGACUGGAAUUCCUGGUGUAGCGGUGGAAUGCGCAGAUAUCAGGAGGAACACCGGUGGCGAAGGCGGGUCUCUGGGCCGAUACUGACGCUGAGGAGCGAAAGCGUGGGGAGCGAACAGG
rnacentral:rRNA from 1 species